UAGGCCGGUACUCGCGAAUCAUCUGCUUAAGAGUUUGAUCAUGGCUCACCCAUGGAACGUAGCGGCGUGCCUAAUACAUGCAAGUCGAGCGAAUGGAUUGAGAGCUUGCUCUCAAGAAGUUAGCGGCGGACGGGUGAGUAACACGUGGGUAACCUGUCCAUAAGACUGGGAUAACUCCGGGAAACCGGGGCUAAUACCGGAUAACAUUUUGAACUGCAUGGUUCGAAAUUGAAAGGCGGCUUCGGCUGUCACUUAUGGAUGGACCCGCGUCGCAUUAGCUAGUUGGUGAGGUAACGGCUCACCAAGGCAACGAUGCGUAGCCGACCUGAGAGGGUGAUCGGCCACACUGGGACUGAGACACGGCCCAGACUCCUACGGGAGGCAGCAGUAGGGAAUCUUCCGCAAUGGACGAAAGUCUGACGGAGCAACGCCGCGUGAGUGAUGAAGGCUUUCGGGUCGUAAAACUCUGUUGUUAGGGAAGAACAAGUGCUAGUUGAAUAAGCUGGCACCUUGACGGUACCUAACCAGAAAGCCACGGCUAACUACGUGCCAGGCAGACCGGCGGGGUGAAUACCGUAGGGGUGGCCAAGC
rnacentral:rRNA from 1 species